GUGCAGUGCAGUUUUACACUGUUAAUAUCCAACAUUUGACCGUUUGUCUUAUUUUAAUUUUUUAUAAUUAAUAUUUUUAUUGUUAUUAGAUGAUAAAAUAUAAAUAGUACUUUAUGUUUGACUAACAUUUCUUAAUUUUUUUCAUAAAUUUUUCAGAUAAGAUGGACGGUUAAACGUUGGAUACAGAUACCCAUAGCUGCACUUAUU
rfam:Oryza glumipatula chromosome 6, whole genome shotgun sequence.